AUUGAACGCUGGCGGCAGGCCUAACACAUGCAAGUCGAACGAGUGGCGGACGGGUGAGUAAUGUCUGGGAAACUGCCUGAUGGAGGGGGAUAACUACUGGAAACGGUAGCUAAUACCGCAUACCAUCAGAUGUGCCCAGAUGGGUUUAGCUAGUUGGUGGGGUAACGGCUCACCAAGGCGACGAGCCCUAGCUGGUCUGAGAGGAUGACCAGCCACACUGGAACUGAGACACGGUCCAGACUCCUACGGGAGGCAGCAGGGGGGAAUAUGGCACAAUGGGCGCAAGCCUGUUGCAGCCAUGCCGCGUGUCUGAAGAAGGCCUCCGGUUUGUAAAGUACUUUCAGCGGGGAGGCGUUACCAGCAGAAGAAGCGCCGGCUAACUCCGUGCCAGCAGCCGCGGUAAUAC
rnacentral:rRNA from 1 species